GCAGUAUCGAUGACUCAGUGGGCAGCUCUCCAGAGACCACAAGAACCCAUGGGACAAAAAAACGCUGUGUCACUGUUUUCUUGUUACAAAUGAGCCAAGUAAACCAAAAGUUGCACGUUAACACCAACUAGAAAAUAUAGAUUGAGAGAAAAUGCUGUGACUGCUAAUCUCUGGACUGCGUCAUGCAGUCAACUGGGUAGUUUCCUGCUGUUGCUCCACCAGGAAAGCCACAACCUUUCCAGUACAUGGGUGUAAAGGAGCAACAGUUUGGACGGUGCCCUGUGAUGCAAAACCAUCCAGUCAGAAUUCUGUUUAAUGCUUCCAGAAGAGGGCUCCAAAUGUCCAGCAUGUGUCACAUAUCUGUUCAAUUGUGUUGUGUUUGUCGAAAUGAUGACCUGUCCGAAAACUCCUCGUUAGGAAGCUGGACAAUGUCUGACAGCUGAUUAAAACAACACCAACUCUACUGUAAGCAUCAUUCAGUAAAUUAUAAAUAAUAAUAAUAAUAAUAAU